CACAAAAAGCCAUGCAACUUUUCUGGAUGUCAUUGGAUGGAUGGACAAGGCACGGGCUUCAGUGACAAACCAAACCAUCCUGUCCGGAUUCAGAAAGGCUGGGAUAAUUGGAACUGCAACUGACGAUGACUAAGACGUAAGCGGCGUACCGAUAGAAGAGGAAGCGGCGCAUUGUCUACCUUUGGAGUUGGCAGAGUUGUUCAAAAGCGACACAGAGGAAGAAGAUUUCAUGGGAUUUAUGGAUUAGGAGUGACAGAUAGUUUGCAGGUGCAACUUCCAUCCAUCCAUUUUCUACCGCUUAUUCCCUUUUGGGGUCGCGGGGGGCGCUGGCGCCUAUCUCAGCUACAAUCGGGCGGAAGGCGGGGUACACCCUGGACAAGUCGCCACCUCAUCACAGGGCCAACACAGAUAGACAGACAACAUUCACACACUAGGGCCAAUUUAGUGUUGCCAAUCAACCUAUCCCCAGGUGCAUGUCUUUGGAAGUGGGAAGAAGCCGGAGUACCCGGAGGGAACCCACGCAUUCACGGGGAGAACAUGCAAACUCCACACAGAAAGAUCCCGAGCCUGGAUUUGAACCCAGGACUGCAGGAACUUCGUAUUGUGAGGCAGACGCACUAACCCCUCUGCCACCGUGAAGCCCCGCUGCAACUUAUACUCCGAAAAAUACGGUAUAUCAUCACUUGUUCACACCUCCUCAUAUGGAAGAUACUUUUCUUUCUUCAUGUCUCAAGAAGGGUAGAAAGACAAAAACACAAACACUAACUUGUUCACCAGUCCUCAUAUGGAAUGUACUUUUCCUUGUUUCUGUCCCAAGAAGGGAAGCAAUACAAAAACACACACACACACACACACACACACACGCACACAUGCAGGGUACCUGUCUGAACAGUAAGAGGCACAGGUGCGCUCCUGGUGUCGCCGUUGAGCGAGUACAGGUGAACAGAGUAGAUGGUGCCUGGCUGCAGUCCUUUAAGAAGACAUGAGAGUUAUCAAGGUGAUGAAGAUGCUCGUUGCCAUGGAGACCUACCUGAGACCGUGUAGGUGUAAACGUCCGCCGGGACGGUCUUGACGAUGGUGGGACGUGAGCCGGGGGUGGGCGUGGCUUCAAUCAGGAAGCCCGUCAGCGUUUCCCCCUUGGAGCGCCAGUUGAGGGUGAAAGAGUCGUCCUUCACCUCGACGAUGCGCACGCGGCGAGGCGGACUUAUGUCUGCAGGAAAUAAUAAUGAUGAUGUCCCUUUAAAUAGUCCUACUAUGAUCUUCAUUCCAGGUAAUAGUAGGCACCUGCAGGCUUUUUCCUGUCGUUGUUGCAUCUAAACUGUCUUGAAUUAUUGGCAGCUUUUUCAGAAAGUCGCGGCAAAAUUUUAUGACGUGUUUAUUUUUUUUUUCAAGAUCAUUGAAUCAACUUGUGAUUUUAUGAGUUUGUUAUCAAUGAUUAACCCCAAAAAAGACAUGACACCAAUGAAGCCUUUCAUUUUGCACACAGACACUAGAUGGCAGUAAAAGCACAUACUCAGAUCUCAUACUCUUUUAAUUACAAUUUAGAUUACUUGGUAUGUCAAACUGUUAGAAUGUUAGCAUUUUAGCAUGCAAACAGGGCGCUAAUUAUUUAAAACCUCUUCUCAUUCCAGCGCUUACCAAAGGCAUGCGGUAAAUUUAGGCCUGCGCUUAUAAACUUGAGUGUGAUGUAAGGAUACCAUCAUGAAAAGCAUAUUUAAAAAAAAAAAAGUAUGGUCUUACCUUUACUUAUAAA